UGGUUAUAAAGGACUUGUCUAGGGGAGAGCCUGUAGGUACUCCAUUGUCUGAUGGAUCUGAGAACGCUGUCUGGGCUUGGUACCAAGAGCUGGUAUUUCACAGCAGCGACCGCCUCACAGACGAGCUGUGGGAAGCAGGAGGGAGACUCUCUCUUAGGGUGCCACUACUAUGGAGACACAGCUGGGCUGAACAAGAUUUGCUUCAAACGACAACAAGAGAGACAGAAAGUAUCUGGUUCAACCGCUGCCCGAGCAGGCAGGCACCAGAAGAGCUAGCAGCCAAUCCGGCCAUGCUCGAAGCCAGCUCUGCAGCUCAGCCAAUCAGUGACAUCAUUGCUUGCCCAUGGUGAUGUGAAGAUGAGAAGAAAUAGCAAGGCCCAACCAGUUCUUCAUCUGGAGACAGUUCAACGUUCUGCAAACCAGAUCUUCAGGAAUUUUACUGGGAUAAUUAUCCAAAUAAAUUGCAAGCAUUCUAUCCAAAUGGAGCUCUUUCUGAGAUGAAGAGAAUUCUCAAUGUCAAGAUUUGAACAAGAAGAGAAUGGAAUACACAAUAUGGACAUCCAUAAAAAUUCAUCAGAGAGCAUUUUACUACUGAGCUGCAAAGGUAGGAAAAAUAAAUUUUUUUUGGUUAGAAAAUAUACUUCUUUCAUCUGCGUUUCAAUAAUUUAUUCCCCUUGUUAGAUAUACAUGGAAUUGAUAUUGCUUAUUCUGACUAAGUGAAAAGUGUUAUUUCUACUUACUGCUCAAUUAGAAACAUGUAGUGUUUAAUUGUCAGUUUGAAUUUUUCUUUCAUACUAUUACAGUUUAUAUUUUACUAUAGGCAGAAUUUCCUCUUUAUCCUAAAUUUUGAUAUUCUCCAUAAUUUCAUCGUGCCUUGACAUUGCUGUAUAUAAUUUCUAUACAUCAGGAAGGCAAUUCUGUGUGCAUGUGUGUGUGUAUAUAUAUAGUUAGAAGUUAGAAACUGAAACUCUUUUUUGUCUACCAUCAUUUCAUAUUUUUCUUGCUAUUUCAAACCUAUAAUUUUUAAAGAAACGACUAACGUAAUCAUUCAUAGAAUAUGCUGUCAGUAACUUAACAAUAUAAAUGUUAACAUGGAGGCAUUUAGUUCAGCAUUUGCUUUACUUAAUAGAGUGCAGAAAAUGUGGCCCUUUUCUCAGUUAGGGUGUAUGUGAAGAUAAAUUUAGAAUUUCUAGACUAGUAAAUACUUCUCUGAUAAUAACUUAAUUAUAGCUAUUUCAAACCAAAUUGUUUAAUUGUGGUGAAUCAUAUGUAAAUUGUUCAGAUGUAGGUCAACACCCACGCCCACAUUCUAGCACCUCUUUCCUAAUUCAAGACAACUUUGCAGUGCCUAAAAGAGCUGAACAGUGCAGAUUAGAGACAUAAGACAAAAAAAAAAAAAAAA
rnacentral:lncRNA from 1 species